CGAGCCUGCGAAGGCAAGCGGAUCUCUUAAAGACUGUUCUCAGUUCGGACUGCAGUCUGCAACUCGACUGCACGAAGCUGGAAUCGCUAGUAAUCGCGGAUCAGCACGCCGCGGUGAAUACGUUCCCGGGCCUUGUACACACCGCCCGUCACACCAUGAGAGUUGGCAAUACCCAACGUACGUGAUCUAACCCGCAAGGGAGGAAGCGUCCUAAGGUAGGGUCAGCGAUUGGGGUGAAGUCGUAACAAGGUAGC
rnacentral:rRNA from 1 species